rnacentral:rRNA from 1 species
ACUCCUACGGGAGGCAGCAGUGGGGAAUAUUGCACAAUGGGCGCAAGCCUGAUGCAGCCAUGCCGCGUGUGUGAAGAAGGCCUUCGGUGAGAUGUCAAGCUUUCAGUUGUGAGGAAAGGUUAGUCGCUAAUAUCGGCUAGCUGUGACGUUAGCAACAGAAGAAGCACCGGCUAACUCCGUGCCAGCAGCCGCGGUAAUACGGAGGGUGCGAGCGUUAAUCGGAAUUACUGGGCGUAAAGCGCGUGUAGGUGGCUUGUUAAGCCAGAUGUGAAAGCCCCGGGCUCAACCUGGGAACUGCAUUUGGAACUGGCAGGCUAGAGUUUUGUAGA